ACUCCUUUCAGUAGUGUGAAGUGAAAAGCGAAUUGAGUCACACGACCCCUUCCCCUCCGGUUGGUGUGAGCAGUCAGAGAGUCACCUGUGUGUGGGAUGGCCGAAGGAGAUGAGUCGAAUAUAAACCUCAAUAUCUGUCACAUCUUAAUUUCUCCCUCUUUUACCCCGGAUCAAGAUGGAGACCCACCCGCCGUUUGUUUCAGUGUUGAAAUAAAUACUAUUUGGCUUGCUACCGAGGCAGUUAAAAUGGCAAAUUAACCAGCUAGCGUCAACUAAUUUUCUCCCUCACAUUACUUCACAGAGCGGGAAAUAGCAGUCUAAAGUACGUACUGUACUUUUCUGCGAUUUAGUACAAUAAUUAAAUUUAGUUGGUAUCACGUGUAUAAUUUUAAGCCUCCUGCCAUUGUUUACAUCUGUUCAAAAUCACGACAUUUAAAACAAAAAAACAAACUUGGCCACUGUUUGAGUGUUAUACGGAGAGACCGUGUGUGUGUCUGUGUGUGUGACACUCACGCGCUCUCUUAUGUGUGUGAAUGUGCACACAUCCUGCACCUCACCACUCCAAACUAAAUCCAGGAAAGGUAAACAAUCCUGCAUCAUAACUUGGACUGAACGAUGAAUGUGUAGAAAGCGAGCAUUUCUCCAAAAACCUUGUUGAGCUGCAGGUAUGUUUUACAGAAAUUAUGUCUUGAUGAUAUUUUUUAUUAUUGAGCUGCAGGUUUAGGCUCUUUUAAGUGACUGCACUUAAUUAAGAAUAAUUUAUUUAUUUUAAUUAUUUAGCCUGGCAGUGUUUACAGUUCCAAAAUGUUCUAUAUGUUUCUUAAAAAUAAAAUAUAUUGUGUUCAGUGGGGAAUUUUUUUUUUUUUUUUUUUUUUACCCAGACAUUUAACCGUCAGAAUCUCAUACCGGCCCAUGCCUAGUCCAAAACUUUCUGUACCUCUUUAUACUGAGGGGGGAACCUUGAAAGUUAAACUUUUUCUGGAAUGCUCUUUGAGUUUUUUUUUUUGCUCUCUUCAUCCCAGUGGCAAAUAACCUUGGAUGGCAGAAGCCGAAAUGCAGUAAAUUCUCAGAAAUACUACGCACGCACAGCAUUUCUUGGACACAUUUAGGACCGCUGACUGAUUCUCAGAAUGGAGGUGCUUGACAGUCACCGUCGUCUGCAAAAGACACACUUUAUUCUCACAGGAAGGCAGCGGUGAGAUGGAAAGAUGAAGCUGCUGUCCUUAACCUGGUGCUCUGUUCCUGUCUGAAUGACUUUGAUGGUGUCUGAGCUCCACAGGAGAUGACCUAGAAUGAUGGUGAUGAAGCAUCUUUGGCAAUGAAAAGCAGUCUAGAUACACAAGAUUAAAUGUCACAGACUGCAUCACUGUCUAAAAAUGCAGAGAAGGCUGGAACACAAAUAGUAGGAUAUCACAACACCAUCAACAAGAAGAACUGUUGGAUGAUCUCACUUUUCUGUCAUGAGAAAGUGUGACCAGUCCAGACCGGUGUCAUUCAGCACUUGUGUACCUGUUAGCAUCAGUGAUGUACUACAGAUCAGUUGUUACCAUGGUCACCACAAUAGAAGUGCCAGUUAUAUUUUGUGCUGGUGUAAUAUCUUAUAGUCUCAGAACCAAUUUCAAAGUUUUUUUCACUGUGUGCCAAACCAUAUGUACACUAAAAAAUAUAAAAAAUAUUUUUUUUUUUAGAAUAGUGUAACUUUCUUCAAUUCAGAUUGUGCUGGUAGAAAUUUUGGGCUACGUCCAAAAUCACAUACUCUCUAGGUGCUUCUUUUUAAAUAAGUAAUUACGUUUAUUUAUUUAUUUAUUAAUUUUUUAAAGUAUGUUUUAUGUAGAAUAGUAUGAAUAUUUAUGGUAUGACUUUAAUCUGUAUGUUCUACACUCUAAAAAACAUGGUUCUUUAAAGGUUCUUUACACAUAGUAACAGUUGUAUUUAGAACCAUAUCAUCCUAAAGAACCAUUUUAUGUUGAAAUUGUUCUUUGUGUUAGAGUUUAGGAUUCUUUCUUUCUUUCGCCUUUUUGUUUUUUAAAUCUGUAACUGUCAAAGUCAUAUCAUUAUUGAUUAACUGGAGUUCAACCAUCCAACUGCACAGACUUUCAACAUACUCUAAACAGGUAAAUGAGGGUGAGUAAUUAAUGACAGAAUUUUCAUUUUGGGGUGAACUAUCCCUUUAAGACCCAUGGUGUCUUUGGAAUAUUAAUGUCAGUCACAGAUCAUCUCCUGUGGCCUCAUAGGAUAUCCUCAUGGAUGCAUGCUUCAGAAUCGACAUCUAUUAACUUUUGCCUACUGUUUUAUGAAUACUGUGAAUGCUCUUUUUAAAUAUUGUUUGUCGAUUUGUAUGCGAUUUCAAAUCCAGCCAUGUGCAUCAGAUUUACCACCUGAAGUUAUACUGUAGCCACUGUGCAAUUUGAGUUUUUCAGAUAAUAAUUUGAGUACAUUGUGGGGAAAUUAAAAUGAGAGGCCUAAAUUUUUACCUGAACCUAAUGUUUAUUUUAAAUGACCACAUCACCCUGUUUGUGUCUGUCAGAUGUCCCUUCAUUGCAAAAGAACAAGCAGCUGUAUAGUGUAAUUCAUCCCUUUUACACUGCCUUAAAAAUAUAGAAUUUCAUCUUAAUGGCUUUUUUGAGGGCUGGUCUGUGCUUUUUUAUGGAAUAACAUCUGUUCUGCUUGAUCGUUUGGUUGCAGUCCAUCUUUUCAUCUCAGUCAGCCGGGUAUGUAAAGAUUAAGUACUGUUUUGUGGUGGUUCGCACAUUGAUGGAAUGGAUUCUACUGUGCUUUAAAAAUGUUUCAAUGGAAGACAUUGAAAAAGAACCUAUUGUUUAAUAAUCAGACAUAUCACUGACUGUAUGCCUUCACUUGUCCAUACAGCAGUGUUACUGGAGACUUUGAGGAAGGCACAAAUGUUGUUUUUUAAGACAGCUGAGAAUGUAUUGACAUGCUGAUAGGAAAUAUCUAGCCAGGGGACAAAUGUGUUGGCUGCUGAUGCAUUAAUUAGGAAGGCGGCUGUGGUGCUCACAGCUCCUGCUGGGAGCUCUGUCUCUCCUCAGACUUGUUCAAAACACAUCCAGUCAAGCACCCGCGGCUGCUCCGCACACAUUGUGUGGAAACCAACACGAGGAAUCUGGCGACUUUGUCACAUUGUCGGCCAGUGUUGUCUGGGCAGGCUGACAGAAAGCAAGACAGAUGAGUGUAGUCAUUUUUUCUCUUAUUAGCAUCUCAGUUGACAGGGAGCAUUUAAAAUACUAGUCCUUUUUGAGAAAAGGCGACCUGACACGUGUGAUGAAAAGGAGCGGUGAUGAGGAGUAUGGACCUGUCAGUCUACCCCAGAUCUAACUAUACACACCACAUGCAGGUAAAACUCACCCUUGCACAUUGACGUUGAGUCAGUUCUCUUUUAGAGAAGCAUUAAAGUUGUCUCUGACCAGUGAAGAAAAGGACAACCACAGCUAGGAGCCUUCAGUGUGACAUACAGACUAGAACUCAGUAGGUUAAACUCUCGGAAUGGUCCAGCGAAAAAAAGAGAAAGCAUCUAUCAUUCUGGUUUGUGUUGAGAGGUUCUCUUAACUGUCCUUUACUCUGACAGAUGGGUGCUUUCAGUCUGCUUUAUUCAGUAAACUGCUGACUGAGAUAGAAGAAUAAGCAUAUACAACUGAAUAGAUGGGCUCUUGGGCUCUACGCAGGGGCCUGUGUCUGCCAAAUGCUUUUCGGUAAUGUAAUGACUUCAGUUCAUUCGCAGUGAGUGAGCACCUUUGUGUAAAGACAGAAUAUACGAUGAGACCGAUGUGUUAGAAGGAAAUGCAAGUUGAUGCACUGACAAGCCAGUGAUUGAAUCUGAAAAACUGUGCAUGUUUAAUGCGAUGCUGAAUGAUUGAGUUUCUCACUUACUGUAGUGGGCUAUACACU